CGUAAAGAGCUCGUAGGUGGUUUGUCGCGUUGUCCGUGAAAACUCACAGCUCAACUGUGAGCCUGCGGGCGAUACGGGCAGACUAGAGUACUGCAGGGGAGACUGGAAUUCCUGGUGUAGCGGUGGAAUGCGCAGAUAUCAGGAGGAACACCAGUGGCGAAGGCGGGUCUCUGGGCAGUAACUGACGCUGAGGAGCGAAAGCGUGGGGAGCGAACAGGAUUAGAUACCCUGGUAGUCCACGCCGUAAACGGUGGGUACUGGGUGUGGGUUUCCUUCCUUGGGAUCCGUGCCGUAGCUAACGCAUUAAGUACCCCGCCUGGGGAGUACGGCCGCAAGGCUAAAACUCAAAGAAAUUGACGGGGGCCCGCACAAGCGGCGGAGCAUGUGGAUUAAUUCGAUGCAACGCGAAGAACCUUACCUGGGUUUGACAUGCACAGGACGCCGGCAGAGAUGUCGGUUCCCUUGUGGCCUGUGUGCAGGUGGUGCAUGGCUGUCGUCAGCUCGCGUCGUGAGAUGUUGGGUUAAGUCCCGCAACGAGCGCAACCCUUGUCUCAUGUUGCCAGCACGUUAUGGUGGGGACUCGUGAGAGACUGCCGGGGUCAACUCGGAGGAAGGUGGGGAUGACGUCAAGUCAUCAUGCCCCUUAUGUCCAGGGCUGUCACACAUGCUACAAUGGCCGGUACAAAGGGCUGCGAUGCCGUGAGGUGGAGCGAAUCCUUCUAAAGCCGGUCUCAGUUCGGAUCGGGGUCUGCAACUCGACCCCGUGAAGUCGGAGUCGCUAGUAAUC
rnacentral:rRNA from 1 species